UACCCUUGGUCUCUCUCCCUCCCCCAGCCCCUGCUUUCUCUAGGUCUGCCUCGCCCGGACCCACACUGUCUCUGCCCUGUGGAAGGCAGCCUGCCCCUCUAACCCCACAUUCUAAGUGUGAUCCUGUGUUUCCAGGACAUGGUGGCACCAUGGGAGUGUGUGUAACCUAAGAGACCGAACUUACAGGGGAUCAGAGAAAACCUUCUUGAGGAAGUAACAUUUAAGCUGAGACCAGGAAAUAAAAAGGAGAGAAUAAGGCAGCCAAUUUUGAGAACGGAUGUAUGACAAAGCCACCCCAUCUGCAGUGAAUAUUCUCUCCAUUUUAUUUGACCUGUGGUGAUGGCGGAGGGGUGGAGGGAGAAGGAGGUUUGUUCACAGUCUGUCCCAGGCAUCAUCAAAGAGGAGAGAGAGAUGGAACGCAUGUGUGACUACUUUGGUUUGCCCAGUAGAGUUUCUGCACAGAUGGAAUGAGAGACCACCCACGGCUCUGAGAUCCCCGCAGGGCGCCUUGGGUGGCCUCCGGAGAGGAUUAGCACUAGGAGAAGUCAGGAAAGGAAGAGAUGCUGCAGCCGACCCCAGUAUGAUAAAGAGAGGCUGUCUUCAUCUCCAUUCCUCCAUUCUGCAUAUUUCAAAAUGACAACAAAGGAAACAAUUUACAGUUGGCUCCAGAUCCCCCUGGCUCUGGAACUCCUUCUGUCACAUCAGAAAGAGAUGAAAAAGAGACCUCCUUCUCCAUGAACAACUCUGAGCCACAUAAAUAUUGUUCCAUCCCACUUACGGCAGUUUCUGUUGCUGGUCUUUGUUCACUGACACUGGAAUCCUGGCAGCUCGGUCCCUCCUCUGUUUCUAUAUACAGAUCGGAGCCCCUGAAACUCUCCUGGGAUGGAGUGAACUGUGAAGCACAGAGACCUAGGAAGGGCCCCGUUGUUGCACUUUGAUGCUAUCUCGUGAUGUCUCCGCUGUAACUUGCAUCAUUCUGCAGUGAUAAAGUGUCAUCUUAGCUUGAGAUCAUCGGAGAGGCUUACGCAGCAUUGCCUUAUUGCCUGAUGUGGCUGUUUCCUUCUCCCUGCCUGACAAAGAGAGAGGUUCUCAGACACUGGGAGAAACUUGUUAAAAUCCUCAGUUCUGGGCUUCCUCCUAAAACUUCUGAUUCCAUCAGUCUGGAGCUGUACCCAGGGAUCUGAAUUUUAAUAUAUAGCUCAUCCCAGGUGGUUCUUAGUUCACGUGGUUGAUAAACAGUCCCAUGAGCUAAGAGGAAGGAAGACUAAAGCUGGCUUAUUUUAUAUCCAGGUUUUUGGGGGGAU